rnacentral:rRNA from 1 species
AUUGAACGCUGGCGGAAUGCUUUGCACAUGCAAGUCGAACGGCAGCACGGGGGCAACCCUGGUGGCGAGUGGCGAACGGGUGAGUAAUACAUCGGAACGUGCCCAGUCGUGGGGGAUAACGUAGCGAAAGUUACGCUAAUACCGCAUACGAUCUACGGAUGAAAGCGGGGGACCGUAAGGCCUCGCGCGAUUGGAGCGGCCGAUGUCAGAUUAGGUAGUUGGUGAGGUAAAGGCUCACCAAGCCGACGAUCUGUAGCUGGUCUGAGAGGACGACCAGCCACACUGGGACUGAGACACGGCCCAGACUCCUAUGGGAGGAAGCAGUGGGGAAUUUUGGACAAUGGGCGCAAGCCUGAUCCAGCCAUUCCGCGUGCAGGACGAAGGCCUUCGGGUUGUAAACUGCUUUUGUACGGAACGAAAAGGCUCUGGUUAAUACCUGGGGCUCAUGACGGUACCGUAAGAAUAAGCACCGGCUAACUACGUGCCAGCCGCCGCGGUAA